rnacentral:rRNA from 1 species
UGGACUUGCUCCUGAUUCACGGCGGNGGGUGAGUACACGUGGGUACCUGCCUGUAAGACUGGGAUAACUCCGGGAAACCGGGGCUAAUACCGGAUGCUUGUUUGAACCGCAUGGUUCAAACAUAAAAGGUGGCUUCGGCUACCACUUACAGAUGGACCCGCGGCGCAUUAGCUAGUUGGUGAGGUAACGGCUCACCAAGGCAACGAUGCGUAGCCGACCUGAGAGGGUGAUCGGCCACACUGGGACUGAGACACGGCCCAGACUCCUACGGGAGGCAGCAGUAGGGAAUCUUCCGCAAUGGACGAAAGUCUGACGGAGCAACGCCGCGUGAGUGAUGAAGGUUUUCGGAUCGUAAAGCUCUGUUGUUAGGGAAGAACAAGUACCGUUCGAAUAGGGCGGUACCUUGACGGUACCUAACCAGAAAGCCACGGCUAACUACGUGCCAC